AGUGAACGCUGGCGGUAGGCCUAACACAUGCAAGUCGAACGGCAGCACAGUAAGAGCUUGCUCUUACGGGUGGCGAGUGGCGGACGGGUGAGGAAUACAUCGGAAUCUACUUUUUCGUGGGGGAUAACGUAGGGAAACUUACGCUAAUACCGCAUACGACCUACGGGUGAAAGCAGGGGAUCUUCGGACCUUGCGCGAUUGAAUGAGCCGAUGUCGGAUUAGCUAGUUGGCGGGGUAAAGGCCCACCAAGGCGACGAUCCGUAGCCGGUCUGAGAGGAUGAUCAGCCACACUGGAACUGAGACACGGUCCAGACUCCUACGGGAGGCAGCGGGGGGGAAUAUGGGACAAUGGGCGAAAGCCUGAUCAAGCCAUACCGCGGGGGUGAAGAAGGCCUUCGGGUUGUAAAGCCUUUUUGUUGGGAAAGAAAAGCAGCAGGUUAAUACCCCGCUGUUCUGACGGUACCAAAAGAAUAAGCACCGGCUAACUUCGU
rnacentral:rRNA from 1 species